UGAGAGAAAAUUCUGAAUCAGGAUCUGGUUUAUGCAGAUGAUUCUUUAAACUGUAUGGUUUGGUCCUUUCUGCCACUCCAUCACAAAAUGGAGCUGAAUUUUGGAGACUGAUCCAGAGCACCUUUGGCCAGUGCCUGCCUGCCAAGGAGGCAGCUUGCCAAAGCACUGCAGGCUCCAGCUGUGCAGGCUGUGCUUUUCCAGUCUGAACACUUGGUGUGCCAUUGAGUCCCAGAGGCAGGAAAUAAAAGGUGAGAAAUCCUGAAGGUAAGUUGAUCUCUUUCUUUGGACAGCUAGGGCUAGAAGCUUCAGGUUGCUCACUCUUCAGAGGUAACCAAGUACUAAGUACUGGUUUGGCUGGUGACCCUGGGCUGGGGCCAUCUGUAUAGCUGGCUUCCACAGGCAGCCCAGGCUCUUCUUGCCUCAGGGUUUAGAAGCAGCUGUAAAGUCUCAGAUAUCCUGGGCCUACAUCUCAGCAUUGUUGUCUCCAUGGCCCAAUACUAACUAUGAAGGAAAGAUGCCAGCUUGGCCACAACCAACGGCUGCUGUUUGAUAAAGGAGUUCAGAAGAUGCGGAGGGAAGCCUGGUGCACCCAGCUCCACCUGAAAGCAGAAGGAAGAACUGAAGGCACAAACAGACCCAGAGAAGCCGCUCUUGACUGUGGUACUGGAGAUGCACUUGGACCCCUGAGCAUUUAGAUUUAAGUGCUAGCUCUCCUCUCCCAAUGAUGAAGAUGGAGUUGGCCUCAGAGUGGAGAGCCAUGAAUGAUGCCUACUAUUAGCUGGCCAAAUGGUGUAGCAACUGGGGAUUCUAUGCAACUGGAGAGAAAUAUCCCAAGGUACGCCAUGAGACAGGAUACAGUGCUGUGUCACCUGGACAAGGAAGAUGACUCUGGUUAUUUCUUUCCCCUCCAUGAUGACAGGCUGCAGGACCCAAGCACUGGGCAGGAUCUCUCCUCGGACCAUUUUUCUGGUAGGUCUUGGCAUGGAUGCAUCAUACACAGACUGAACCGCCAUGACUGAUAGAUGCCCCUAGGGACAGAGAUACAGAUGUGAGGCCUGCCUGUGUGAUGACAAAACACAGGGUGUUCGGAGGUAAUACCGUCAGUACUCCAGCCACCCCACUAACUGCACCCCAUGCACUGUAGCCUAAGUUCAUCCUGUAACAUCUCACCACCCCAGUAUAGGCACCUCUUUGGCUUCCACGCAGACACAGCAGAAAUCUCGCAGCUGCUUCAGCGCACACAGUGUGGUAUUGCACACCAAGUACACUAGAAAGACACAUUGAAUACUAGUCCUUUAGUGUUCAGAAGCCUCUGCUUUACUCCAUAACUGGAUUGCUAGCAGUCUUGCUGAGAAGUCUAGAGUUCCCAGCAGUGCUGCUUUGACCCUCCACCUCUGACUCCCUAUAGAAGCUUUCAAGCCCUUUGACUCACCCAGGCUGAUACUGCUGGUCACCCGCUGAUGGAGCCUUGCUGUCUGGAUGGGCUUGUGGUACAGAGGCCACAAAGUGGGGUCACUCACAGCUGCCCAUACUUGAGAGAGCGGCUUGAACACCACACCUGCACCCAAGAAUCCAUGUCGAGUAGAAGAGAACUCCUUGUAGUAAAGCUGUACCUCUUGCUCCACACCCUGAUAGCUUGGGGACACCAGAGGCAAGAAACAGUCAGAAAGGAGUUUACUAGCAUGGGCGUGCCAGGAAGCCAGAGCAGAGGAGGAGGAGAAUGAAACAGAAGGACCAAAGCAUGGCAAAGUAACUUACGUCCAGCCAUCUGCUGCCCGGCAGAUGAAGAGGUUGUGGAGAUUAUCCGAACAAGCAGCCAUUACCUGGGGCAGAGGGUAGAAGCCAGGCCUCUAGGUUCAUCAGUCUGGGUAACAUUUACUAAAUAACCACUUGUCAAGUUGAAGAGUUCCUGAAGCCCCAGUGCCUUGGUGGCCCUAAUCUGCCUGGCUCCUUUCUUCUCCCUCCCCAUCCAACAUCAGUCAAGCUAUAACAGCAGGAGGAGGGAAUGAAUAAAUCCAGAGACUCACAUCAGCCAUUGAUGUAUUGACAAUGUGUUUGGCCAAGUCCUGAUAGAGGGAGGAGAAGCAGGUCCCCAAGCUGGAUAGGCUGGAGAGAGAGCAGCAGCCACUGCCCAUAGAGGCUCUGCGGCCUACAACAAAGAGAUGGAGGUUCUGCAAUGACCUGAACAUCAGGUGGUGGGACAGUGAUACAGUGCCAAGAACCUUGGGCCAGUAAAUCCUGCAGACAGCAUUCCCUAAGCUUCAUACUCACUGUGUGCUAAGCUCUUCCAAGAAGACCCAGUCAGAUACAGGUAACUGUUCCUCACUGUGGACCGGCCCUGCCAGUCCCCUAUCCAAGUGUCUUGGGAAUUUGGCACUUGAGAGUCCUCCUGCAGAACAGAUGAUACUCAGAAUAAGAUCCAGAAUGCCUUCCACUAGCAAUUGCAAUUCAACUUCAGGAUGUUGGAUACUAUGGUGGUUUAAAUAAGUAUGGCCCCCCCAGGCUCAUAUACUUGAAGGCUUUGGAAGUCUUCAAGUCUUUGGACUCACCCAGAGUCCAAACUGUUGGUUACCACAGAGUGACACUAUUUGAAAGGAUUAGAAGGUGUGGCCUUGUUGCAGGAAGUAUGCCACUGGGGAUGGGCUUGAAGGUUUUAAAAGUCCAUGCCAGGCCCAGUGUUACUCUCUUUUCAGAUCAAAAUAUAGUCCUCCGUUACUUCCCCAGCACCAUGUUGGCCUGCUGCCAUGCCCCCUGCCAUGAUGAUAUGGACUUAGCUCCUGAAACUGUAAGCAAAAACUCCACAAUUAAAUGCCUGCUUCUGUAAGA